ACUAACAAGGAUUCCCCUAGUAACGGCGAGUGAAGCGGGAUGAGCUCAAAUUUAAAAUCUGGCUGCCUCAGGUGGUCCGAGUUGUAGUCUCGAGAAGUGUUUUCCGCGUUGGCCUGUGUACAAGUCCUUUGGAAUAAGGCGUCAUAGAGGGUGAGAAUCCCGUCCUUGACACAGAUCCCCAAUGCUUUGUGAUGCGCUCUCAAAGAGUCGAGUUGUUUGGGAAUGCAGCUCAAAAUGGGUGGUAAAUUCCAUCUAAAGCUAAAUAUUGGCGAGAGACCGAUAGCGAACAAGUACCGUGAGGGAAAGAUGAAAAGCACUUUGGAAAGAGAGUUAAACAGUACGUGAAAUUGUUGAAAGGGAAACGAUUGAAGUCAGUCAUGCUCGUAGGGAUUCAACCGGUUCUGCCGGCCUAUUUCCCUACUUGCAGGCCAGCAUCAGUUUUGACCGGUGGAAAAGGUUGGAGGGAAUGUGGCAUCCUCGGAUGUGUUAUAGCCCUCUUUCGCAUACAUCGGUUGGGACUGAGGAACGCAGCACGCCUUUAUGGUCGGUCUUCGGACACGUACGUGCUUAGGAUGCUGGCAUAAUGGCUUUAAACGACCCGUCUUGAAACACGGACC
rnacentral:rRNA from 1 species